rnacentral:tRNA from 1 species
AAUUAUAUAGUCAAUGUAUGACGCUGAAUUGCAAAUUCAGAGGAGAAUUAAAGUUCUGUAGUUU